rnacentral:lncRNA from 1 species
CCAAAAAAUUUUAAAAACCAGAAUUUUCUUUCAUUGCUGGAUCUAGACUUAAAUUUGUCUAAUGUAUGAAUGAGCAUGGAGCAGGGGGUGGGGAGAGGAGACUGAGCAGCUGUGAGUGGACAGAACGGAGCGCCAAGGACAAGCGGGCACUCGUGCACUCGGGAGUGUGCGAAACAGUCAGGCCUUGAAAAAAUGAAUGCCUACUUUCUUUCAGCUCUGGUAUCAUGGGGAAAUACUAUUUAUGCGACAUGGGAAAAGUCUAACUGUGAUUCCAUACAAGUGCGAAGCAUCAUCUCUGGCGAGCGCUCUUGGGAAGCUCAAGCAUACUCAAGAGUCAGGCAGUCAUUCCGUGCCCCAUUUUGUAAACUGGGAGACGUGUUCAGAAUAUGAACUUGGGUCCUACAGUGCAAAGCAGACAAGAACUCUUAGAAAAAAAACUGAAACAAAUUUACACCCAGAAGUUCCAGGAGUCAAAGAACUUUUAUCAAUAAUAAAGGUAAUUCUGUUUGUUUGGAUUUGUUU